rnacentral:rRNA from 1 species
AUUGAACGCUGGCGGCAGGCUUAACACAUGCCAGUCGAGCGGGGAAAGGUAGCUUGCUACCUGACCUAGCGGCGGACGGGUGAGUAAUGCUUAGGAAUCUGCCUAUUAGUGGGGGACAACAUCUCGAAAGGGAUGCUAAUACCGCAUACGUCCUACGGGAGAAAGCAGGGGACCUUCGGGCCUUGCGCUAAUAGAUGAGCCUAAGUCGGAUUAGCUAGUUGGUGGGGUAAAGGCCUACCAAGGCGACGAUCUGUAGCGGGUCUGAGAGGAUGAUCCGCCACACUGGGACUGAGACACGGCCCAGACUCCUACGGGAGGCAGCAGUGGGGAAUAUUGGACAAUGGGGGGAACCCUGAUCCAGCCAUGCCGCGUGUGUGAAGAAGGCCUUUUGGUUGUAAAGCACUUUAAGCGAGGAGGAGGCUACCGAGAUUAAUACUCUUGGAUAGUGGACGUUACUCGCAGAAUAAGCACCGGCUAACUCUGU